rnacentral:misc_RNA from 1 species
GAUGAAGAACGCAGCGAAAUGCGAUACGUAAUGUGAAUUGCAAAUUCAGUGAAUCAUCGAGUCUUUGAACGCACAUUGCGCCCCCUGGUAUUCCGGGGGGCAUGCCUGUCCGAGCGUCAUUGCUGCCCUCAAGCACGGCUUGUGUGUUGGGCCCCGUCCUCCGAUCCCGGGGGACGGGCCCGAAAGGCAGCGGCGGCACCGCGUCCGGUCCUCGAGCGUAUGGGGCUUUGUCACCCGCUCUGUAGACCCGGCCGGCGCUUGCCGAUCAACCCAAAUUUUUAUCCAGGUUGACCUCGGAUCAGGUAGGGAUACCCGCUGAACUUAAGCAUAUCAAUAAGCGGAGGA